ACUUACAGAAUAGCAAAAUCGUCUCAAGUCACAAAAAUUGUCCCUAUUUUAAAAUCUCAACUCCAUUGCAAAUAUUUUGUUUCUUCUUCACGCCAAAUCCAAUUGCAAUGAUUGUGGAAGAAACUAAUCGGGCAGCUAUUGCAGAAACCAUCCAAUCACAAUUCAGCGUAGACGUUGAUGACAUUGACCAUUAUAUGUGACCUGGCCUAUGAAAAGGGAGCUAACGUGCGAAAACUAGUUUUCUGGGAAAAGCUGUUAAAAAUAAUCGUCAGUUUCUCGUUAUCUCAUUAAUUGUUCUCCUUUUUUUUGACACCUAAGCCCGCUUUCCGAAGACCAGGUCACAUAUUAUGAUUUUGAGUAAACAUGCAUUUGCACCAAUUAGAAAUUGUGAGAUUCGAACAAAAUUUGAAACCAUAAAGCAAUAUUUAUCAUUACUUAAUGCAAGUAAACGGAGGAAAAAAGAUCAAAUUAUACGAAAAUACAACGUCAUAUGGGUGACGUCUAUUUAACGGGCUCUUUGAUCGUUACCAUAUAAGAGUAAAAAACAAAGAUACGCCAAUAAGGUAUUUUACCAUUUGGUUAAUAUGAUGACAAUUUAUUGUACAGUAAUCAAAUUUAUAAAAUUAAUGACCUUAAAGGGCUUUUAGAAACGAACCGGAAUUUCGGGAAGUCAUCGCUGCAGGCUGCAGGCCUGUCCUAUAAAGCAAAGCAGACAGUUGGCUGGCCAGCAUGUUCUCUACAAACAAGUCCGUCAAAAAUUGGCUGCAAAACUGUUCAUGCUGUUGUAGAUAUCCGAUAGAAAUUGAGAUAUCUUGAUGAAACUUGUUAUGCAAGAGCCUUAGUACAAAAAAAAGUUCCGAGUUCGUAGAUUGGCCCCGCCCUCUAAUAAGUUUAAUGUGCAUAUCUCCCAAACUGCUUAAGCUACAACAACCGAAUUCGCUCAGCGAGAAUACUACAAAAACUCCUACCUAUAGUGUAAAAAUAGACGAAAUCGGAUAAAAAUCCCGAUCACUCCCCAUAUAACGGUACUGUUCAAACCUACUAAAAGCGCGAUAAAUCAAUAACUAAAUGUGUCAGAGACGUAAAAAUUUGCCGCCGGGAUGGAAUGACAAUGCUUUAUUUGACGAUCGGCGUGGCACCGCCCAAUUUUUGGUAAUAUCCCAUAUCUCGGAACCCGACUGACCGAUUUCAACAAAAUUUGAUACGUGGCAUUUUUUUCAUGUUUCUAUGUCACGUUGUGAAAAUGAGCGAAAUCAGACAACAACCGCGCCUACUUCCCAUAUAUUAUCGUUCCGUUACCAGUAAGCAAUUAAUUUAACGGGAUUAAACUUUGCACGAAUAAUGCCCUUAGUGUAUGCCACCUUAUGACUCAAAAUUGUUAAAAUGCAACAAAAACUGUUCACGCCCCUAGGUACCGAAUAAUUUGACCGCCGUACCUAUAGUUGACUUUUUUUUUAGAAAAUAUCGGUCAAUGUCUGAGAUAUAUAAUUGAAAUUCGUGGAUAGUACUUUUUUGAAAAUGGUAUGUCCGUAUGUCAAAAAUACUAUAUAUUGUAUAAACACAUUUUGUCGAAAUCAAAGGUUCAAACUUACUCAAAAAGAAUUAUUAUUAAAAUUUUGGUAAUUAUUUUAGAAGCCAGAUUUUGAGGGUUUAGUCUUUUUUAUUACAAAUAUUAGAAUUGAGUAAUUUAGACAGAAGUUACCGAUAGCAUACCAGAUAGCAUAUUCGUUAAUCAUUCAUCACCAUUAUUUUAUUUAUUGAUAAUAAUGUUUUUAGAAUUAUCGACAUUCCCAGGUCUUCUUAAAUACAGAUUUAUUAUCUCAAAAUAAGAAAAUAUUAAAACACAGUUCUGAAUUUGCUUUUAUGUAUAAAAAAGUAAAAAUUCUUCAAUUUAUAAAAAUAUACCGAUGAUAUAUAGAUUCCAAAUGAUUAAAAAUUGAUACUUCCUUUUCCUGUCAUGGUCCGUAGAUUAGUAGAGUUUCUUGUUUUAUCCCUCAAAUAUAUGAGGGGAGACAUAAGUACUUUCCGUAUACUGGCCAUAGUAAUGUCUCUCAAAUGCCAUUAUAUUAUGAUGGAAGCGUUCUCGUCGUUCUUCCGAAUAUGUGUAUCUAGACAGAUUCUAGAUCCUAUGAUGGUGAAAUUCGUAAUCAUGUCAGUGAUCAACUCGUCAUAAUUGGCAACUUUAUCCAAGGAAACCAUGGGCUUACUGCCUUAGAACUUCUCUAGGCCUUUUUCUCCUCAUUGCUAAGUAACAUCGGGAAAAUAUCACCAUCCAUAAUUUUCUUUAUUUUAGGGUCUACAAAGAUUCCAUUCUUCAAAUAUCCUUCACCGGCAACAACGCGUGAAGACCGGCAUUAUAAAAGUGGGAAAAUCAAACAUUAUCUAAUCACUAUAAUUGCUUAAAACAAAUAUUUUUCAUUUGUAAUCCUGUGCAACGUCAAGUAGAUACCGAAAAUUUUCCUAAAUCACCGAUUUUGAAAAUUAGGUGAGGAACAACACGCAUAAACGCAGAUAAAUCGAUGAAAUUUUGUGAACUCAAAGAAAAACGUUAGUGCUUUAUUAUAGUUAUAUUUUCACGGUAAAUUUGAUUAAAUAAUAGUGCUUUACUGCUUUUCGUUAAAGAAUUAAAAAUUUUCAUGCGUUCUUCAAAAAAAAUUGCAAAGUAUGUAUCGCAACGCGAAAUGCCAUUCCGCAGAUAUUGAAUUUUUUGUCCCCCAACCGGCUUUCUCAACGCAGGGUGCUUAGCGGCGAACAGAUUAUGAUUUCUGGGCUGUGGGGUCCAGCACUAGAUUGUUAUAGAAGAUGUUUCUAAAUUAUUAUUAAAAUUCCUUUUCCAAAUCAAUGUUGCAAUGCUUUAGGAAUAAGGAGUCAUAAUUGCAUACGACAUAAUUUAUAUUUAAAUAAUGCUACGAGGGAAAACUAUUUUAAACCAAAAUUCUGAAAAUAUUCAUCAAAGUUUAGCGUAAGUUUGUUUAAUUUUUUUUAUAAUAAUACGUAAUGUCAACAAACAAAAACUCAUUAACAGAAAAUGCAGAGAAAAAAUAUGCAUACUUUAUUUUCAGUGCUGACCAAGAAAAAUCAUCAGACGAGCUUUCUCAAUCCAAAAAGAGUUUCUUGUGGUUAUUCAGAUUUUCUAAACGAAGUUGCCGACGGAUCGUUUAAUUAUGGUUCACGCAAUUAAGAAAAGUUCUUUGAUUGCCAUUCACUUGGGAGUAGCCAAAAACGAUUAUUUUACACAUGGCUUAAACAGCUUACGACUUCCAGUCCUAGACAAAGUAUCCUCUGAGUAGCCAAAAAACAUCCUUUUGAAUGCAAAAAAAUUUAGCAGCCGAACCAUCCCUCCCCAGGGUUGUGCGUUGGGAUUGGGACCCGCCACGUAAUAAAUGUCCCCAAUGAAAACUAAACAACAGCCUUGGAAUAGUUUCUAUAGUUUACAAUUGUGUAAUACAAAAGUAUCAAAUUAACCGAAUGUGGAUGGAAUUAUCCGAGUAGGUCCUGAGAAAUAAUAUAUCAUAUAAAGGUGGAGGUAGACAAACUGAUCGACAAGGGUAAUGCUCGAAAAUUCUACGAAAAUAUGCGGCGACUAACAGAAGGUUUCAAGACCGGAGCAUACUCUUGUAGAACCCCCAAGAGUGAUGCCCAGAUCAUACUACAAUUAUGGAGGGAAAACUUCUCCAGCCUGCUGAAUGGCGGUGAAAACUUAACACUAGGAGGUAUCAAACCCGAUUCCCCAAUCGAUGACGAUGGAGCAGACGUUCCAUUGCCCGACCAUGAAGAAGUUCGAAUAGCAAUUACCAGUAUGAAGAACAACAAAGCGGCAGGGGCCCGUGAAUUGCCGACCGAGCUAUUCAAAUACGGUGGCGAAGAACUGAUAAGGAGCAUGCAUCAUCUUUGUAGAAUAUGGUCGGACGAAAUCAUGCCCAAUGAUUGGAAUUUAAGUGUGCUCUGCCCAAUCCACAAAACGGGAGACUACGCGCCGUUAGUUUUGCUUUUUCCAGAAUAGAUAAUGAAGCGAAGCAAAUGGGUCUGGUGGAGAAUGAGGGAAGACAAUAUAUUCCCUGUUGAAUAUUUGGAUGCCCAAUUUAGUGGGAAGCAUCCACCACUUUACUUUCAGUUCAAUAAGCACCCAGUAUUUCGGCAAAGGAAAACACAUUAAUUUAAAAGAUAUUAAACACUUUAGGGUUCACUUUAUUGAAAUCAGGUAUGUAAAUAUGAUUGCGCAUGUUAACGGCGACGCACGCAGGACCGCUGAUAUUCGAAUUAUAUCCGUAGCGCACAGGACUGGCAGGGAGCAGGAACCGUAUGGUGACGUUGUUAGCGAAAAUUGCGACGCGCGGGAUGGGUGUCGGAAAACGAAUAUGUAUGCUGUAAUUUUGUCCAUCCCGUUUGUUAAUGAGGUUGGUGUAUAGGUGUGGUUAGUUGUGUUGAUGUAUGAAUAUGGUGUCAUCGAAUGUGGUGUACUGCGCAGUGUUUCCUUAGGGUGCGCCAGUUUUUCCCAGGUUGAGUGAGGGGGGAGGCUUAGGCGGGUAUUGUCACUUGCGAAGCGAAUUUAUUUGGCGAAGCGAAAGGUUUGGCGAACAUACCCCAAAUUUGCAUUGUGAAUGGCGAAUUAACGUAUUCGCUAAAAUAUGUCGUUGCCAUUCAUGAAAAAAGUAGCGCGUUCUACCGAAUUUGACAUUUGUGUCAUUUAUACUUAAAAAUAUGUAUUAUUAUAUCAACUGAAAUUCGAAAAUAUGUUUAAUAACGCGGAUCUGUAUUUUGAGGAUAAUUACGAUGUGGAAACGCGAACUAAUCUUCGACAGCGCCGUUUUAUUAGAGAUAAUUCUAAUCCUACAGAGCUACCUAACACGGUAUUCGUUGCGAAUUCCCGCUUAAACAAGGACGCAUUUAUGUAUGUGCUGGAUAAAAUCAAAGACAAAUUUCAUUGUCGGAUGUCUUCCAUAACGCCGAUGUUAUAAUUGUGUGCCGCGCUCAGAUUUUUUGGACAUGGCAGUUACCAACAAGCUAUAGGGAAUGAAUUUCAGUUGGGACUUGCUCAGCCAACAGUUUCCCUUAUUUUAAAAGAGAUCAUACCCAUUUUGGAAAAUAAAAUUUGUCGUACCCAUAUAAGCGUAGAUAUGAGUGAAGAAGAAAAGCAGCAGGAAAGGAGCAAAUUUUAUUCAUGAUCGGGAAUACCAAAUGUAAUAGGCUGCAUCGAUGGAAUCCAUAUUGCGAUUUAUGUUCCUACCACAAACAAACACCUCUAUCUAAACAGAAAAGGAUCAUAAAUGCAAUGAUUGCUUGUGAUCAUGAUAUGAAUAUCCGUUUUGUGGAUGCUAGAUAUGCUGGUUCUACACACGAUUCGUUCGUAUGGAACAAUAGUUCUCUAAAGGCAUGUUUAGAGGCAGCGCAUCAAAACGGAGAUCAGAACUCUAUUUAUUUAGGUGACUCCGGAUACCCACUAAGCCCUUAUUUAUUAACACCUUUCCGUCAUGCAGAAUCUGGAACUAGGGAGUCAAUUUUUAAUAAGAACCACGCGAAAGCGAAAAAUGUUGUUGAACGUACGAUUGGAGUUUUGAAAUGCCGUUUCAGAUGUCUUCUGAGUGAUAGGAAAAUGCGCUACGAUCCUGCUAAAGUAACAUCCGUUAUUAAUGUAUGCUGCGCCUUGCACAGCAUUUGUAAAAAAAUUAGAAUCGGUGAUCUGGAGAUCGCCGCAGAAGACAAAUUGCUGAUGAUUUGAUGUAAAUGAAACUAUACCGACUUCAGUGAAUAAUAUAUUGUAUUCUUUUAUUUUAUUCAAUACUUUAAAAUUCAAUAUUACAUAGAUAACAAAUAUAUAAAAAUUACAAAAACUACAUGCUCUUAAAUUAAAUUAAAAAAAUCACAGAUUCAAUUCCGUUACUUACAAUAAUAAAGUAAAAAUAAAUUCAUCACA